rnacentral:lncRNA from 1 species
UCUUGUGUACAUCAUCAUCUUCCAAAAUUGUACAAACAUAUGUAUAUCAUUGGUUAAUUGAAUGAAUGAAAGAAUCUAUACGUCAAAGAAUAUUGGAUCAAAACAGCUUGCUUGCAAAUUCAUCCAUGGGGCUUCCUUCUAUACGAGAAUAGCUUGAUUUUUUGGCUACAUCUCUCAGUUCUGAUAAGCUUCUUCCCAGUUGCAAUGCCACUUUCAUUUCAAACAACUCCCCAUUUUCUCUUUUCUCUACAUCACAUUCAUCCAACGUUGAUUCUAUCGAUUCUUGCAUAAGCUUAAAGAACCCAGCGUUGUUCCUGUACAUCUCGAACACCAUACCAACUUGGCCACCGUGCUCGAAGGUGUUCACAGCUGAAGCUAAAGCUCCUGCAACAGCCGCUACAGUUGCCGCCCAAGGGCUGUUGGAAGAAACCAUGAAAGCCGAUCCUAGAGCUGCUAUUCCAGUUAGCAAUGGCCCUGAUGUAGCUAAAACUUUGUUCAUGAUCAAAGCCUUGUUGCCUAAUCUCUCGUAAUCUUCACUGUCUUUUCUCUUUAUUACUUCAACCACUUCUCUCAUUUCCAUUUCCAAUUCCCUGGUCCACCCAUUGUUGUUCGUCAAUGCUUUGUUUGAGUUUGGAGACUGUUUUGUAGGCCACCAAACAGCAGGCUCUAAACUUGCAGGGAAUUUUUCAAGCAUAACACCAAGCAAAGGAAGAGGGUAAGCUUUGUCAAGUGCCAACACUUUCUCCAUAGCAUCAUUCACGUCAUCUUGGCAUGGAGAACCAACAGCAAGUAGGGCUUUGAUUUGGGAUUGCAGCUGCUUAAACAAUCUCGUGGCAUUACGUUGCUCUUCCACAAGCUGUGAGGGUUGAAUCUUAUUCAUCAAUACCAACAUCCCAGUGGCUGCUGAGAACAUCACACUGGAUGCCAAAUUCAAACCCAUAACAGAAACCCCGGCGCCAACGCCAGUUGCGGCGGCAACACCUGCCAUGGUUGCGGCGGUGAGGGUAAUCAUAUUGAUGGAGUUGAGUAGAAGGGUGUUCCAGUUUUCUCGUUGUUCCCCAAUGUUGUUAUGCAUCUCCACUCUGUCAGCUAUGGCCUCUAAGAUGGCAUACAGUUGAAAGGUAGCCAUUGAAACAGAUGAGGUUUGUUGAACCAAUGGUGUGCUAUGGACAUUGUUUUGGAUUGGGAUUGUGUUGAUGAACCCGUCUUUACUAUUCAAUUCAUCGGACUGUGUUUUGGUUUGUCGUAAUUUAGGGGCUGAAAAUCUUACCGAUGGGAGCUUUGGGAUGGAUAUAGCAGCACGGAUUUGGUUUGAAGAAGAAGAUGAUGAGAGGAGAAAGUUAGAAGCAUGUAAAGAAGCCAUAUUUAGAAAUUUAGAAUUUUGAAUGGAAAUUUAGAAAUUUUGUGGGUUGAAUUGAAAGGAAAUUAAAGAAUGGAUUUGUAGAUGUUUUAGGGAUGAAAGGUGAGAGACUGCGAUGGAGGCGUAUUUAUAGCAAACUGACGAUGGUUUAGGCUUAGCUGCUGAUUUGGUCUCCUAAUGUGUUGGAAAAUCUGACUGUCUCCUUGACUUGACUUAUCUUUAUUACAUUGGCUGACCUAUUAAGAAGUUGUCUCGUUCAACGUUAUAUGAUAGGUUAAAACAUGCCACGAGUCCCUUUAGUUUUCAUAAAUUUAGAAUCCCUAUACUUUUUCUUUUAGGAAUUCAGUCUCUCUACUUUUCAGAUUUUAAAAUUUAAGUCUGAUUUCGUUAAUCCAUUAAUAAAUUGUAAUUAUAAUCUCUUAAAAAAUAUAUUAAGGUUAUUAAUUUUAAUUUAUAUUUUUAUCAAUAAUUCACCAUACAGUUUAUUUAACAUUAAAAAUAUUUCAUUCUUCAAAUGAAUUGGUCAAUAAUAGACUAAACUAAAGAUCAAGGAUCACAUUGAUAACUAUAUGAAUUAGUAAAGUCUAUUUGAUUAUGUAAUGUUGAAAUAUGAAUUCCCUUUUUACUUAUAUACAAGACAGAGGCUAAAUUACUUUUUUUUUCCAUUUUUAGUAUUUAAUUUUAUAAUAAUCAUUUUGAUUUUUUUCAACUUUGCUCGAGUAUUUGAAAAUUUUAAAUAUUGAAUUGAAUAAUUAAUUUAAUUUAAUUUACUAAUCUGAAUAAAUCUAGAUAGAAUUCUCUCAUUUAUAAUUAACUUUGUCAUUGAGUCCAAUUAGCUUUAUUGACAAUCAAUUAAUAUUUAAGUGCAUAUUAUCUUUCGUUUUAAAGGUUUUAAAAGAAUUAUAAGUAAUAAUAAAAAUUGUAUAAAUUCAUUGGUUUAAACUAGAAUUUUUUUUCUAUGUAUUUGAAGUUUGAAUUAUCAUAAACUAGGACCAAAUCAAACUAAAUUCGGGCUAUGGUAUAAAAAAUAUAUAGAUAAAUUCAUUUUUUAUGACUUAAAUUUGGCAACGGUUCUCACAUUAGGGGGUUUGAAUAUUUUUUUGGUCCCCGUUAAUCCUUGAAUUUGACAAUUAUUUCCACAUUUGAGCUUGAACUUUUUAUUUGUCCAAGUUAAUCUCUAAACUUGACAAUUGUAUCAUAUUCGUACUUUAACCUUUUUCUCUAACUUUUUCUUAAGAAAAUACCAGGGACUAAUUUGAAAUAAAAAAAUCAAGUCUCAGAACAAUGGUGCAUUAACCCAAAAUAUUUUAAAAUCAUAAGGUAGUAGAGGUGAGCAUGUAGUAGGCUUGGGUUGUAGCCGAAAUGCUUUCAAGACAUUUGAAAUCAUCCCAAUAUAUAUUAGAAAAACAAUAAGACAUGGUAAGGGCAUGAAGUUAUGUUGUUACGCAAGAGCUAAGACAAAAGGAGCGUUGGUCCCUAAAGACCCUCGGCGGUUGUCUGGUUUGAAGCUUUUAUUACGCGUUAUUGGCGCUGAAAGUUAGCCAAGUUGCUCCACACUCAGCCAGCAGAUGGGUGACAUACCAACGAGAAAUGGUCUAAUUUGUAAGGCAAUUAUGAAGACAAGAGAUCAAUGUUUUUCAAAUCUCCUUCGAGUUUCAAAGAUUUCCAUGCAAUCCAUGCAUUCCUCAAAGCCAAUUCAUUUUAAAGGUUGGCAUUGAAUUGUUUCUACCAGCCUCUUCUUUUCAAACCUAUUUGCCUAGUUGGUUCCUAACGUCGUUUUAAAUGAUCAAUCGAGCAGUUUUGGUAUUUACUUGUGCCACCCGAUAUUUUUUAUUUACUAUUUUACUUUUACAUAUUUAGCUUUUAAAAGGAUAAAAAUGAAAUAAUAUAGUAAUUUUAUUUCAUCUCUUACAAAAUGAACAGUUAAGAUAGAAAAAUCGAGCAGAUUAAAUAUUAGUUCAAUUGACAUAGAUGUUGUUGAAGAUUUUUAAAAGUUACAGGUUUGAGUGAAUUUAGAUUUGUAAUGUGCGCUUCAUGUGAAUGUCAUUAAUCGGGGUUUAAAGUAUAGUAGAAAUAUAUGAGACAACACCGAAAUGGCCAAAAAAAAAUUUAAAUAACCCAAAUCUAAUAUAACUUCAAACUCCAAAUGUCUCCCCCACUAAACCAAUUAAGUAAAACCCGAUUAGAAGGAUAUGAAACAAAAAAUAGUAAUCACUUUCUUAUUCCAAUUUCCAAAGAAUGUGGUUAAGAUACAUUGAUUUGUAUGCAUCAACCCUAUUUAUAUUCAAGAUUGAACCUAUAUCUUGUGUACAUCAUCCAUCUUUACAAAAUUGUACAAAUAUAUGUAUAUCAUUGGUUAACUGAAUGAAUCAAAGAAUCUAUACAUCAAAAAAUAUUGGAUCAAAAGAGCUUGCUUGCAAAUUCAUCCAUGGAGCUCCCUUCUAUACGAGAAUAGCUUGAUUUUUUGGCUACAUCUCUCAGUUCUGAUAAGCUUCUUCCCAGUUGCAAUGCCACUUUCAUUUCAAACAACUCCCCAUUUUCUCUUUUCUCCACAUCACAUUCAUCCAACGUUGAUUCUAUCGAUUCUUGCAUAAGCUUAAAGAACCCAGCGUUGUUCCUGUACAUCUCGAACACCAUACCAACUUGGCCACCGUGCUCGAAGGUGUUCACAGCUGAAGCUAAAGCUCCUGCAACAGCCGCUACAGUUGCCGCCCAAGGGCUGUUGGAAGAAACCAUGAAAGCCGAUCCUAGAGCUGCUAUUCCAGUUAGCAAUGGCCCUGAUGUACCUAAAACUUUGUUCAUGUUCAAAGCC